UACGUAGGGGGCAAGCGUUGUCCGGAAUCAUUGGGCGUAAAGCGCGUGUAGGCGGCCAGAUAAGUCCGCUGUGAAAUCUCGAGGCUCAACUUCGAGCUGUCGGUGGAAACUGUCUGGCUAGAGUCCGGAAGAGGAGAAUGGAAUUCCUGGUGUAGCGGUGAAAUGCGCAGAUAUCAGGAAGAACACCCGUGGCGAAGGCGGUUCUCUGGGACGGUACUGACGCUGAGACGCGAAAGCGUGGGGAGCGAACAGGAUUAGAAACCCCCGUAGUCC
rnacentral:rRNA from 1 species